UACGGAGGGUGCGAGCGUUGUCCGGAAUCACUGGGCGUAAAGGGUGCGUAGGCGGUCGGGUAAGUCUGACGUGAAAUCUUCAAGCUCAACUUGGAAACUGCGUCGGAUACUAUUCGGCUAGAGGAAUGGAGGGGAGACUGGAAUACUUGGUGUAGCAGUGAAAUGCGUAGAUAUCAAGUGGAACACCAGUGGCGAAGGCGAGUCUCUGGACAUUUCCUGACGCUGAGGCACGAAAGCCAGGGGAGCAAACGGG
rnacentral:rRNA from 1 species